UACGAAGGGGGCUAGCGUUGUUCGGAAUUACUGGGCGUAAAGCGCACGUAGGCGGAUCCUUAAGUCAGGGGUGAAAUCCCGAGGCUCAACCUCGGAACUGCCUUUGAUACUGGGGAUAUCGAGUCCGGGAGAGGUGAGUGGAACUGCGAGUGUAGAGGUGAAAUUCGUAGAUAUUCGCAAGAACACCAGUGGCGAAGGCGGCUCACUGGCCCGGUACUGACGCUGAGGUGCGAAAGCGUGGGGAGCGAACAGG
rnacentral:rRNA from 1 species